rnacentral:rRNA from 1 species
GUGGGGAAUUUUGGACAAUGGGCGAAAGCCUGAUCCAGCCAUGACGCGUGCAGGAUGAAGGCCUUCGGGUUGUAAACUGCUUUUGUACGGAACGAAAAGACUCUGGUUAAUACCUGGGGUCCAUGACGGUACCGUAAGAAUAAGCACCGGCUAACUACGUGCCAGCAGCCGCGGUAAUACGUAGGGUGCAAGCGUUAAUCGGAAUUACUGGGCGUAAAGCGUGCGCAGGCGGUUUUGUAAGACAGUGGUGAAAUCCCCGGGCUCAACCUGGGAACUGCCAUUGUGACUGCAAGGCUAGAGUGCGGCAGAGGGGGAUGGAAUUCCGCGUGUAGCAGUGAAAUGCGUAGAUAUGCGGAGGAACACCGAUGGCGAAGGCAAUCCCCUGGGCCUGCACUGACGCUCAUGCACGAAAGCGUGGGGAGCAAACAGGAUUAGAUACCCUUGUAGUCC